GAUGAACGCUGGCGGCGUGCCUAAUACAUGCAAGUCGAACGCGCAGCGAGAGGUGCUUGCACCUUUCAAGCGAGUGGCGAUCGGGUGAGUAACACGUGGAUAACCUGCCUCAAGGCUGGGGAUAACAUUUGGAAACAGAUGCUAAUACCGAAUAAAACUUAGUAUCGCAUGAUAUCAAGUUAAAAGGCGCUACGGCGUCACCUAGAGAUGGAUCCGCGGUGCAUUAGUUAGUUGGUGGGGUAAAGGCUUACCAAGACGAUGAUGCAUAGCCGGGUUGGGAGACUGAUCGGCCACAUUGGGACUGAGACACGGCCCAAACUCCUACGGGAGGCUGCAGUAGGGAAUCUUCCACAAUGGGCGCAAGCCUGAUGGAGCAACGCCGCGUGUGUGAUGAAGGCUUUCGGGUCGUAAAGCACUGUUGUAUGGGAAGAAAUGCUAAAAUAGGGAAUGAUUUUAGUUUGACGGUACCAUACCAGAAAGGGACGGCUAAAUACGUGCCAGCAGCCGCCGUAAUAC
rnacentral:rRNA from 1 species